rnacentral:rRNA from 1 species
UAAACAUUAAUGAUAUUUUACAUUAUCAUUUGCCAGGGUACUACAAGCACCAGCUUAAAACCCAAAGGACUUGGCGGUGCUUAAGAUCCACCUAGAGGAGCCUGUUCUAGAACCGAUAACCCCCGUUCAACCUCACCCUUUCUUGUUAUUCCCGCCUAUAUACCGCCGACGUCAGCCUACCCCAUGAGGGUUAACUAGUGAGCUUAAUUGGCACAGCCCAAAACGUCAGGUCGAGGUGUAGCGUAUGAAAGGGGAAGAAAUGGGCUACAUUCCCUAAAAUAGCGCACACGGAUGAUGCACUGAAACAAGCAUCUAAAGGAGGAUUUAGCAGUAAGCGGAAAACAGAGCGUUCCACUGAAACAGGCCCUAAAGCGCGCACACAUCGCCCGUCACUCUCCCCAAGUUCAAUAUCACAAUAUAUAAAUAAACCCUUAAAACUGCAAAGGGGAGGCAAGUCGUAACAUAGUAAGCGUACCGGAAGGUGCGCUUGGAAAAAU